GUACUUUCAGCAGUGAGGAAGUGGGUAUGUUAAUAGCAUAUUCAUUUGACGUUAGCUGCAGUAAGAAGCACCGGCGUAACUCCGUGCCAGCAGCCGCGGUAAUACGGAGGGUGCGAGCGUUAAUCGGAAUUACUGGGCGUAAAGCGCAUGCAGGUGGUUGUUAAGUCAGAUGUGAAAGUCCCGGGGCUCAACCUCGGAAUUGCAUUUGAAACUGGCAAACUAGAGUACUGUAGAGGGGGGUAGAAUUUCUAGGUGUAGCGGUGAAAUGCGUAGAGAUCUGAAGGAAUACCGGUGGCGAAGGCGGCCCCCCUGGACAGAUACUGACACUCAGAUACGCGAAAGCGUGGGGGAGCAAACCAGGAUUAGAUACCCCUCGGUAG
rnacentral:rRNA from 1 species